rnacentral:tRNA from 1 species
GACCGAGAUUUAUGUCUCGAACAUAACUGAAACGGAAGUCGCUUCUGCCGCUCGGCUCUACGAUUUGAUGAGAAUUGCGAACUCCAACCGUGCCACCGCUGCAACUGCCGG